rnacentral:rRNA from 1 species
UACGGAGGUGGCGAGCGUUGUCCGGAAUUACUGGUGCCCAAUGCGCAGGCGGGAAGCCAUGUUGGAUGUGAAAUACCGCAGCGGGGCUGCGGGGCUGCAUCCAAUACUGGUUUUCUUGAGUGAAGUAGAGGUAGGCGGAAUUCCUAGUGUAGCGGUGAAAUGCGUAGAUAUUAGGAGGAACACCAGUGGCGAAGGCGGCCUACUGGGCUUUCACUGCCGCUGAGGCUCGAAAGCGUGGGGAGCAAACAGG